UUACUCUGUUGGGAACCUGAAUACACAAGGUACUCUUCAUGUGAUGAUUAUCCCUGGACUGGCAGCUGACCUAUUAAUUUGGAGACAUUUUCAGCCUAACAGACCAGCCUCCUCUCCAGUGAAAUACAAGCACUCUGCAGAAUCCAAGUGAUAUAUGGACAGUCUGGGAAACUGCAAACCCCACUUCCACCUGAAAACUUGGCAACUGAUGACGCCACCUCUUAGAAGGUAGUGCAGGAGCUGACAGUGAUGACAGAAGUUGAAGCAGAAAGCUAAAAGGGACAAGGAAAGGUGUUAUGAGGUCAAGCCUGAAUGACUGUGCUGCUCUCUCCUCAGAAAUCCUAUGUGCAUUAGCAGGAUUUAUUAUCAGUGUUGCUCAUGCACUCCUUAACAAUUUGUCCUGAAGAGAGAUGUAGUCCAGGGCAAUUUGCUAAAGGGAGAGCGGAUGCUGUGAUCCCACAGGAUGGAAUAUGUUAGAGCUUCCUGGCUUACAGAGGUUUUUCUGCUGGGUGAUUAAAGCAUCAGAACCUGCUCUGAGGCUAGCUCCCUUUCAGGGCUCUAAAGAAACUCACCACUGAAUGAAAAUCAUUUCAGGAACAAUUAGAGAAAAGGUCAGCAUAAAUUCUUCCUGUAUCCACGGCAUUAGCAUCACCCAAGUGUCUCUU